GAAAGUAGCUACGAGCGGCCGAUGUCUGAUUAGCUAGUUGGUGGGGUAAAGGCUUACCAAGGCAACGAUCAGUAGUUGGUCUGAGAGGACGGCCAACCACACUGGGACUGAGACACGGCCCAAACUCCUACGGGAGGCAGCAGUGGGGAAUUUUGGACAAUGGGCGAAAGCCUGAUCCAGCCAUGCCGCGUGAGUGAAGAAGGCCUUCGGGUUGUAAAGCUCUUUUAGUCGGAAAGAAAGAGUUGCAAUGAAUAAUUGUGAUUUAUGACGGUACCGACAGAAAAAGCACCGGCUAACUACGUGCCAGCAGCCGCGGUAAUACGUAGGGUGCGAGCGUUAAUCGGAAUUACUGGGCGUAAAGGGUGCGCAGGCGGUCUUGCAAGUCAAAUGUGAAAGCCCCGGGCUUAACAUGGGAAUUGCGUAUAAAACAAAAAACUAGAACAA
rnacentral:rRNA from 1 species